AAGAAAUCAAUCUGAGGUCUGAGACUGACAGCUGUCUGUUCUGUGUGUGAAGAGCAUUUACAUAGAGACACUUUGCAUGAGAGUGUUUAUAGUGCUGUGAGUUUAACACUUCAUGACUGAGAGCAGAACAGAACACAAUCUUCAUCAUCACACAAGACACAACAACAACAAUGAACAACAUCAUCAUCCUCAUCUGGACUCUCACACUGUUUGCUCAAGACUGUAGAGGACAGAUCACUAUAACUCAGAGUCCAUCAAUAACAGCAGCUCAACCAGGACAAGAUGUCAGAAUAAACUGUAAAACCAGUAGUUCAGUGUAUAAUGGUAAUUAUUUAGCCUGGUAUUUACAGAAACCUGGAGAAGCUCCUAAACUCCUCAUAUAUUAUAUAUCAACCCGUUACACUGGAACUUCAUCUAGAUUCAGUGGCAGUGGAUCUAACAGUGAUUUCACUCUGACCAUCAGUGGAGUCCAGACUGAAGAUACAGGAGACUAUUACUGUCAGAGUGAGCACUCUAUUAGUGGUAGCUGGGUGUUCACACAGUGAUAAAGAGUCGUACAAAAAUCUCCAUCAGUCAGAGUCACAGUGACUGCACUGAUACAGCUGAGAGAUACUGCAGCUGCUGAUGGA